UACGGGGGGGGCAAGCGUUGUUCGGAAUUACUAGGCGUAAAGGGCUCGUAGGUGGCCAACUAAGUCAGACGUGAAAUCCCUCAGCUUAACUGGGGAACUGCGUCUGAUACUGGAUGGCUUGAGUUUGGGAGAGGGAUGCGGAAUUCCAGGUGUAGCGGUGAAAUGCGUAGAUAUCUGGAGGAACACCGGUGGCGAAGGCGGCAUCCUGGACCAAUACUGACACUGAGGAGCGAAAGCCAGGGGAGCAAACGGG
rnacentral:rRNA from 1 species